rnacentral:rRNA from 1 species
AAUAUUGGACAAUGGGGGCAACCCUGAUCCAGCCAUGCCGCGUGUGUGAAGAAGGUCUUCGGAUUGUAAAGCACUUUAAGAUGGGAGGAAGGGCUUUAGGUUAAUACCCUGAAGUUUGGACGUUACCAACAGAAUAAGCACCGGCUAACUCGGUGCCAGCAGCCGCGGUAAUACAGAGGGUGCAAGCUUUAAUCGGAAUUACUGGGCGUAAAGCGAGCGUAGGUGGUUCAGUAAGAUGGGUGUGAAAUCCACGGGCUUAACCGGGGAACUGCUUUCAUAACUGCUGAGCUAGAGUACGGUAGAGAGUAGUGGAAUUUCCUGUGUAGCGGUGAAAUGCGUAGAUAUAGGAAGGAACACCAGUGGCGAAGGCGACUACCUGGACUGAUACUGACACUGAGGUGCGAAAGCGUGGGGAGCAAACA